CCUACGGGAGGCAGCAGUGAGGAAUAUUGGUCAAUGGACGAGAGUCUGAACCAGCCAAGUAGCGUGAAGGAUGACUGCCCUAUGGGUUGUAAACUUCUUUUAUAUGGGAAUAAAAUGUUCCACGUGUGGGAUUUUGUAUGUAACAUAUGCAUAAGGCUUGGCUAAACCCGUGCCAGCAGCCGCGGUAAUACGGAGGAUCCGAGCGUUAUCCGGAUUUAUUGGGUUUAAAGGGAGCGUAGGUGGAUUGUUAAAUCAGUUGUGAAAGUUUGCGGCUCAACCGUAACAUUGCAGUUGAAACUGGCAGUCGUGAGUACAGGAGAGGUGGGCGGAAUUCGUGGUGUAGCGGUGAAAUGCUUAGAUAUCACGAAGAACUCCGAUUGCGAAGGCAGCUCACUGGACUGCAACUGACACUGAGGCUCGAAAGUGUGGGUAUCAAACAGGAUUAGAUACCCUUGUAGUC
rnacentral:rRNA from 1 species